CCUGGAGCUGGGGACAGGGGAGGGGACAAAUCCCUCCAUGGGGCCACUCUGGGGGCUCCAGAAAUCCAAAAAUCCAGAAAAAUCCCAAAGUAAUCCCCCAAAACCCCAAAAAAUCCCAAAGAAAUCUCAAAAAAAUCCUAAAAAAAACAGAAAAAAAAGUGCUGAGGGGAAGGUGUGGGCUGAGUGUGAAUCUGUGGGAUUCGGCUGGGCCAUGCCAGAGACUCCAGAAAUCCCAAAAUCCCCCAAAAAUCCCCAAGAAAUCCCAAAAUAUCCCCAAAAAAACCCAAAAAUCUCAAAGAAAUCCCAAAGAAAUCAAAAAAAAAACCAGGAAAAAAGUGCUGAGGGGAAGGUGUGGGCUGAGUGUGGCUCUGUGGGAUUGGGCUGGUUCAUGCCAGGGACCCCAGAAAUCCCAAAAAUCCAAAGGAAAUCCCAAAGAAAUUCCAAAGAAAUCCCAAAACCCCAAAAAAUCCCAAAAAAAUGCAAAAAAACAGGAAAAAAGUGCUGAGGGGAAGGUGUGGCUGAGCCUUGACCUUCAAACCCUGGCAGAUCCCGAUCCCAGGGGCUGGAGUGGCUCAGGGAAAUCCCAAAAAAAAACCCAAAUUCCCCCCCAAAAGACCCAAAUUCCCCCCAGAAGGCCCAAAUUCUCUCCAAAAGACCCAAAUUCCCCCAUCCCAGAGCCACAGGAGCUCCAGGAGCGGGUUUGGCUCAAAAACUUCCCAACCCUUUCCCUGCAGGACUUCGGAGUUCAAACCCUGCUGGAUCCCGAUCCCAAUGCCAGGGGCUGGAGUGGUUCUGGGAAAUCCAAAAAAACCCCCAAAUUCCCCCCAAAAGACCCAAAUUCUCUCCAAAAGACCCAAAUUCCCCCCAAAAGGCCCCAGAUUCCCCCAUCCCAGAGCCACGGGAGCUCCAGGAGCGGGUUUGCCCCUGAACCCACGCCAGCGCUGCCAUGCCCGUGCCAUGCCUGCUGUCGCAGUGCUGUGCCCACCGCUGUGCCCGCUGCUGUGGU
rnacentral:lncRNA from 1 species